GACAGAGGGUGCAAACGUUGUUCGGAAUUACUGGGCGUAAAGCGCGUGUAGGCGGCCCUGCAAGUCGGAUGUGAAAUCCCACGGCUCAACCGUGGAAGUGCAUUCGAAACUGCAGGGCUAGAGUCCUGGAGAGGAAGGUGGAAUGCUUGGUGUAGAGGUGAAAUUCGUAGAUAUCAAGCGGAACACCGGUGGCGAAGGCGGCCUUCUGGACAG
rnacentral:rRNA from 1 species